rnacentral:lncRNA from 1 species
AGGCCUCGUAAUGGAGAUGAGUACAGCCUGGCCUCAGUCUCCCCACCUGCAAUGUGGGGGAUCCCCGUGUGCCUUGCACCACCUGAGAGCUCCAGGCUUAGGAGGAGACCGAGCAGGGGUCUCAGCCCGAGCGCCCUGUGCUAGCGCAAUUGCUGAGCCCACCUCACUCAGCACAGUGCCACGUUCAGCAGGCACCCACUGUGCACCAGGCACACCGCACAAGGAGCCCAGCAGGCGGUGUUCUGGACAUUCUUCCCCCUCCCGGCCCAGGCCUUCAGGGAGCGAGCAGAGAAUGGAGGACUAGGUCAGCUUCUCCUGGCCCCACUGGAGGCCACAG